rnacentral:rRNA from 1 species
GACAGAGGGUGCAAACGUUGUUCGGAAUUACUGGGCGUAAAGCGCACGUAGGCGGCGCUGCAAGUCCCAUGUGAAAUCCCACGGCUCAACCGUGGAAGUGCAUGGGAAACUGCAGUGCUUGAGUACUUAAGAGGAUCGCGGAAUUCCCGGUGUAGAGGUGAAAUUCGUAGAUAUCGGGAGGAACACCAGUGGCGAAGGCGGCGAUCUGGGAAGAUACUGACGCUGAGGUGCGAAAGCGUGGGGAGCAAACAGG